GGCCGGCGUACAGGUGCUGCAUGGCUGUCGUCAGCUCGUGCUGUGAAGUGUUGGGUUAAGUCCCGCAACGAGCGCAACCCCUGCUGCCUGUUGCCACCACGAGAGGUGGGGACUCAGGCGGGACCGCCGGUGCAAACCGGAGGAAGGUGGGGACGACGGUCAAGUCAUCAUGGCCCUUAUGUCCUGGGCUACACACGUGCUACAAUGGCCGGUACAGAGCGCAGCGAGGCCGCGAGGCGGAGCGAAUCGCUAAAAAGCCGGUCCUCAGGUACGGUAGUUGGAGUCUGAAACCCGACUCCAUGAAGUUGGAAUCGCUAGUAAUCGCGCAUCAGCAUGGCGCGGUGAAUACGUUCCCGGGCCUU
rnacentral:rRNA from 1 species